GAACUCCGUGUCAUAGGUCUAUUCUUUGCAAGUUUAGUGUCAUAGAUAUAGGCUUAGCUAGCUAGAGUGUGAGGACCUGUCUUGUGCGAAGGAAGAAGGAGCAUCACUCUUGUGAAAGAACAGACCUAGGUUCUCAAGUUUCUGCUAUCAGUGGCUACCUUUGAUUGACUACACAAUUUAAUACAAGCGCUUGAUUAGACCAUUGAUUGCCAGAUACACUUGGUAGAGUCUAUCCUCAGACUCUGGCCAUCGAUCUCUUGUAUACUAUGCUCAGGGGUGUCCACAAGUGGCUGGGCCUGGGAUGUAUUGUCAAGCCUAUAGCCCAAUCCUUGGUAUCUGGAUCAAGAUAUGACAUUACGGCACUGGCACUGGUGUUGUGUUAGCCUCCUUCACCGGCCUUCAAGGAAGUGCGGCCUGGGAUCGUGGCUAGUUUGUGUGGACCAUCACUGAGCAAAAUGGAACCUUCCCCUCCAACCCCCGUCGUACUCCUCCUAGCUGAUGGGUGUGAACUCAUUGAAAGAGGAUGCCCCAGUGCCACUCGUGUCCUUCCCAAGGGUCCGAUCUUAUAGAACUACCUGCACUAAAACUACUGACGUGGAAUGGCUCUUUCAACACUUGUGGUUGCUAUCCUGACCAGUGACGUCAGGAUUCUACUGUCUCUUGAUGCACUGUGAACACACAAUCUUUGUUAUGCCACCUGAAGGCUUAGCAGGCAUAUCCAACGCAGUAUUUAUUCAGUCUUCCUGGAAGCUCUUGUUUGAGAUCUUCACUUUUAAACAUCUGCAUUUAUUAUGGACGCAGUACUGCUGUGCACAGUAUUAAUUUCUAGUGUCAUUAUAUCAUUAUUUUUAGCCAACUGUGAUAAUUAAACUGAAGAUUUUACAGUACAUAGCUGAUACUUACCAGUUUCCCGUCACGCCCAGAUACAAUCAAUACCAGGCCAAGGAGGCGACCUAGCGUUCAAUUAGAGACAGAUCGGCCUGGGAUCGAGGCUAGGGGCCAGUCUAGUUGUUUGCAUGGCUUGCAAAGAAAAGUGGGUGUAUCUUGUUAGAGGGUGUGGUAAAUCAUGGAUCGAGGCCGAUUACUCUCUCUUCCCCGGCCCCCUGAGCUGAGAAAAGGGGGAAGGACUGCAUGGCCCUCAGAUUUGUCACUUGGGUAAGAAUCAGACUGUUUCUGGUAGACUACAUGGUACUUGAGACGAAACCUGGCUCCAUUGCUAAAGUAUUACAGCAUUCUCCGAAUGGAAAGAUGGCGAGUCAAUUGAUCAGCCAUAGAUUUAUUGUCUGGUUCAUCUCUCGGUUUACGUUACCUUGUAAAGUCGUAGAUUAUGUUUUUCUGUACAGUUUGAGCUGAGGCUGAGAAUGCUGCCCUGUCAGUAAUGAACCCGACGUCUUCAAAGAACCGGACAUUUGGAUCUACCAAUGCUAAUGAGCACAGCUCAAGAUCACACACAAUAUUCAAGCUGACCAUUGAAAGCAGGGUUAGAGAUGAGGAACGCACUAUCAGGGUGGCCUCUCUGGUGAGUGGGUUGGGCAAGUGUGUGUGUAUACAGCUGUGAAUAAAUUCUUGACUGAUUGACGUCGGCACUGCUCCCAGGGUACAUGUAUGAUGAAUAUACAGUUGCACCUCAAGCUUAAGGGCAAGCUCAGAGGUCUGGAGAAUUGGACCAACAGCUGUGAUAAGUCAGCGCUAUCAAAGACGCAUUUUUGCGUCAACCGCAGUAAUCCGGCUUCUCUCUGCUCUAAAGAAACCAGGGAGCGGUUGCUGCUAUUUUAACGCUACUACUACGUCCAGUUACUGUUCAGGUAAGUAUAUAUGCAGUCAAAACUUUGUACUGUGCAGAAAAUAUUUUGGCAAUACACGCUUGAAUAUGUAGCUAGUUUACAAAUUAAAUAUUAAUUAUUGGCAUGAACAAACACUAUCAAAAAAUUAUAUAGAGCUACUAGCAUGGCUAAGAGGCCACACUAGAUCAGUGAGGAGGUGCUGCAUGAAAUUGUAGGCUACCCACUAGCUCUGGGACCUGCACAGAUUGACAUAGAAGACCCAGUAGCCAGAGUACAGCAAGGUAACAAAGAUGUGCCAGUCAUGGAGGGCAGUGAUGAUGAGUUUUCUGGUUGAGAACAGUUUGGAGAGGAGCUGGAAGAUCUGCAUCGACACUGCAUGAGCUGACCACUGUUGUGAAAGUCCUACCACCAACGUCAACCUUCCUGUACAUGGCAUUGUCUGUGCGCGUGUAUGUGUAGGCGACUCCAAGGUACUCCAAAAGGGACCCAGUGGCAGUGAUCAAUUGAUAGCAAAGUAUUCAUGGACAUAUACAGCAGUAGCCACAACAUCAGACACUUUUUAUAUCUAUUGUUAGUUACGCAAAGAAUUAUAAUCGUUACUGAUG